GGAUGCAGCGUUGUGUCAGGAAGCAUUUUCCUUUUAUUUUUUCAGGUGCCCAAGACAGGAGAAAAGUGAACCUUAUUGCUGGGGACUCCAAUGUUCAUCGGAUUAAGGAUAUUCUUCCUGACGAUAUAGCUGUCAAAUGCCUGCCAAUCUCUGAGAUGUAGCUGACUUGUGCGAUUUGGUGCAUCAGUAGGCGCACAAUCGGUGUCCAGAAUGCAGGGUUGUUUGCUCCAACAGAGACGCUUUGCUGAGCCACUUCUGCAGUCGCCAUAUCAAGCAACCAGAG